rnacentral:rRNA from 1 species
AGCGAACGCUGGCGGCAGGCCUAACACAUGCAAGUCGAACGAACUCUUCGGAGUUAGUGGCGGACGGGUGAGUAACACGUGGGAACGUGCCUUUAGGUUCGGCAUAACUCAGGGAAACUUGUGCUAAUACCGAAUGUGCCCUUCGGGGGAAAGAUUUAUCGCCUUUAGAGCGGCCCGCGUCUGAUUAGCUAGUUGGUGAGGUAAAGGCUCACCAAGGCGACGAUCAGUAGCUGGUCUGAGAGGAUGAUCAGCCACAUUGGGACUGAGACACGGCCCAAACUCCUACGGGAGGCAGCAGUGGGGAAUCUUGCGCAAUGGGCGAAAGCCUGACGCAGCCAUGCCGCGUGAAUGAUGAAGGUCUUAGGAUUGUAAAAUUCUUUCACCGGGGACGAUAAUGACGGUACCCGGAGAAGAAGCCCCGGCUAACUUCGUG